GACGAACGCUGGCGGCGUGCUUAACACAUGCAAGUCGAACGGAAAGGCCCUGCUUUUGUGGGGUGCUCGAGUGGCGAACGGGUGAGUAACACGUGAGUAACCUGCCCUUGUCUUUGGGAUAACUUCAGGAAACUGGGGCUAAUACCGGAUAGGAGCUCCUGCUGCAUGGUGGGGGUUGGAAAGUUUCGGCGGUUGGGGAUGGACUCGCGGCUUAUCAGCUUGUUGGUGGGGUAGUGGCUUACCAAGGCUUUGACGGGUAGCCGGCCUGAGAGGGUGACCGGCCACAUUGGGACUGAGAUACGGCCCAGACUCCUACGGGAGGCAGCAGUGGGGAAUAUGGCACAAUGGGCGGAAGCCUGAUGCAGCAACGCCGCGUGCGGGAUGACGGCCUUCGGGUUGUAAACCGCUUUCGCCGGUGACGAAGCGUGAGUGACGGUAAUGAGUAAAGAAGCACCGGCUAACUACGUG
rnacentral:rRNA from 1 species